AGCAGUGUAGCAUAGUGGGAAGGAGCUGGGCUUGCAGCCCAGAGGUUGCUGGUUCGAUUCUCUGCUGGGGCACUGCUU